rnacentral:rRNA from 1 species
UACGUAGGGUGCGAGCGUUGUCCGGAAUUACUGGGCGUAAAGAGCUCGUAGGUGGUUUGUCGCGUUGUUCGUGAAAACUCACAGCUUAACUGUGGGCGUGCGGGCGAUACGGGCAGACUGGAGUACUGCAGGGGAGACUGGAAUUCCUGGUGUAGCGGUGGAAUGCGCAGAUAUCAGGAGGAACACCGGUGGCGAAGGCGGGUCUCUGGGCAGUAACUGACGCUAGGAGGA